GUCGGGUGUGGUGGUGCACACCUGUAAUCCCAGCAGCUCAGGAGGCUGAGACAGGAGGAUUGCAAGUUAGAGGCCAGCCUCAGCAACCUCUGGAGACUGUAAGCCACCUAGUGAGACCCUGUCUUAA
rnacentral:sRNA from 1 species